UACGGAGGGUGCGAGCGUUGUCCGGAAUCAUUGGGCGUAAAGGGCGCGUAGGUGGCCCGGUCAACGUGCGGUGAAAGCUCGGGGCUCAACCCCGAGUCGGCCGUGCGAACUGCUGGGCUGGAGCACUGUAGAGGCAGGCGGAAUUCCGGGUGUAGCGGUGGAAUGCGUAGAGAUCCGGAAGAACACCGGUGGCGAAGGCGGCCUGCUGGGCAGUGGCUGACACUGAGGCGCGACAGCGUGGGGAGCAAACAGG
rnacentral:rRNA from 1 species